GGGGAUCUGUUAGAGCAAUCGAAGCAGUGAACUUAAGCCCCAGUAAACGGCGGCCGUAACUAUCACGGUCCUAAGGUACCGAAAUUCCUCGUCGGGUAAGAUCCGACCCGAACGAAAGUGGUAACGAGUUGGGCACUGUCUCAAUAACAGACUCUGUGAAAUUGUAAUACCAGUGAAGAUGCCGAAUAACUGCGACAGGACGGAAAGACCCCAUGGAGCUUUACUGUAGCUUGACAUUGGGU
rnacentral:rRNA from 1 species